GCUCAAUGAAUCGUGUUUUCACUGUGUUAGUUAUGAUAAAAAUAUAUCCGUCAUGACUGUGUUUGGCUACAGUGCAGCGCUGCAACCUUUGAUGCAAUAGGAGGAGUUCUAAAUAAAAAGCCAUAAACAACACUUUUUACCAUUAGUUAAUUUUAGUGGCUGUUAUAAUAAAAUCUCAGUAAAUGUUUUAAGAGAGUUCUGCAUAUAAUACUCAUUUCAUGUGGAAAGGAAUUUACAUUGAAGUCUUACAGCAGAGAUGUCCCUUCCAACGGAGUGUUCAAAUCAGAGGGCUAAAUUCAGGGUAGAAGAUGCCCAUUUGUAUCUAAAUUAUGCUUUUGAUGAAAAAAAGCCCCACAUACUAAGAUCAUAAGUGCACCUCAGGAAAACCAUUUUAUAACCCCUUUAAAUUAAUGUGACUUUCAAAGUACACUAAGCAUGCUAAUACUAUUUAUUACACCAAAUCCAUGCAAAAGUAGCCUAAAGUUUAUGUUUAAUGGAUUAUCAUGUGUAAUACACUGUGCUGGUAUAAUUUGCCACUAGAUGGCAGUGUUCUCAGAGAUUCACUAGGAACUGCAGCAAUGAACAGCAGAAUUGAAUUUACAGAACUGAACUUGGGUAUCAUGUGGCUCAGAGAGGAGGGACUCAGUGUUCACAGAUCUGACAUGAUCUAAUGUGUUUGACAGAGACUUUGGUAGAAACUAUUCAGUCUGACUCUUCUCAGAGUGAACACUUCUACAAUGGAUCUUUGUUCAGUUUUUCUGUUCUGUGCAUCAGCAGCUGCUGUCUUUGCAAAUAUCAUCAAAGCAAACAAAACUGAUGUUUUUUAUGAAGAGGGUUCAGUUAUUGUAUUGUCCUGUAGUCAGUCACCUGGAGCUUCAGAUUAUCUCCACUGGUACCGUCAGUAUGAAAGAUCAAAACCUGAAUUUCUUGUACACACCUUUGCUAGUGCAAAAAGCUGUGGUGUCUGAGGUAGAUCCAAGAUUCUCUGUUAAAGCUGAAAAAGGGAACAAAUCCAUGUGGAUCUGAAGAUCUCCUCUGCUGCUGUAUCAGACUCUGCUCUGUACUACUGUGCUCUGGCGCCCACAGUGACAGGAAACACAUCAGCUCUCUACAAAAACCAGUUACAAUGAGAGACAAGAGAGAAAUAGAGAAAAAGACAACAAGGAAGUACUAACUGCCAAUUACAAUAAUAUGUCUAAGAAAUAAUGAGAAUAAGUGAAUAAACCACAGGCAGUUACCUAAAUCAGAAAGCAGACAACUCAUUUCAUCAGUCUAUUGGCAAAAUGAUCAAAAUCAAAGUAAAAUUCUAAAGUAAGUGAAUCUUUGGCAAAAUAAAGAUGAAAAACAUUAAAUCCCUAUAAUACUGUGCUUUAGUUGACAAAUCAAUUUAGAAUAUUCUGUAAUAGGAAACUGUCAAAUAUGACAAAAAUUAAAACAUCUCAAAAGGUUCUCAUGUGGAACACAUGGGGCAGGAUCAUGAAUGCCACACGAUGGCAGUGUUCACACACAUUCACAUGGAGAUUAUGCUAUUUUUUUAUUCUAUAAUAUUUAAAAGUAGCUAGACUAUUCAAUUACCAAAUAAAUACUCUUUAUAUUUUCAUCAGUUAAUAUUUCCAUGCUCAUGAGAAAUGGCAAGAAAUUAGACACAGUGAAAAAUGCAAAGACAUCAAGCCAUGACUUUAUAAAGCAGGAAGUUCCUGUGUGUGUUUGUGACUGAUCUGCAGUGACUUACAGCUCAGAGCACUGAGAGCCUCAACAGAGAACUGAACUGAUCUGAUUGAACAUGGACAGAUGCUUCAUACUGAUUCUCAUUGCCUGUGUGUGUUGUGACUGAUCUGCAGUGACUUACAGCUCAGAGCACUGAGAGCCUCAACAGAGAACUGAACUGAUCUGAUUGAACAUGGACAGAUGCUUCAUACUGAUUCUCAUUGUGGGAACAGGUACAUUAUUUAUGAGUGAAAACAACUGAAAAAAUUGACUGAAAUUUUACACUAGCACAGUAUGUUUUUUUAAGAUUAAUUUUAUUUAUUCAUUUUAUAUUCAUAUUAUUAUUAUUUAUUUAUUUUGUAAAAAGUGCUGUGAAAUAUGCUUGUAAUAUAUUUUUUUUAACUUAGCUUUCAUAAAUCAAAAAUCUGUUGAUUUGUUCUUAUUUGUUCACAGGUUUGGUGACUGGAGACAGUAUUGAGCCAGAUAAAGGGACAGAAAAAACUUCUAAAGAAACAGAAACUGUCAAGUUGAGCUGCUCAUAUAGUGCAAGUAGUGAAUAUGUUUGGCUUUACUGGUACAGACAGUAUCCCAACAGAGAACCAAAAUUCUUAUUAUAUAAAUAUGCACCGUCAUUGGGUGAUUAUGAAGACACCUCUAAUGAUCGGUUUCAUUCAGCUACAACACGUACAUCCACUGAACUCACUAUUACUGAUGUACGUCUGUCAGAUUCAGCUCUCUAUUAUUGUGCUCUAAGAGUAGCAGCCCAGUGAUACAAAACAUGAAGAAUGUUGUACAAAAACCUGAAGCUCUUUUCACUUUGAAAAUAUCUAGUGAAAACCACAAUUAAAACCACAAUCUAUCCAGCUCUGAAUGUAAUAAAAUAUGUGGUCACACCUGUGAGAGUCUGAAUUGGGCCUGUUAUAAAACUUUAAAGAAAACAUUAAGAAUAUGUUCAGGAUAUCAUGUUCCAUUUCUGCCUUUUUA
rnacentral:lncRNA from 1 species